rfam:Hordeum vulgare subsp. vulgare, WGS project CAJW01000000 data, contig: morex_contig_39435
CAACUAUUCCCUCCGUCCGAAAAUACUUGUCGUACGAAUGGAUAUAUCUAGAUGUAUAUUAGUUCUAUAUACAUCUAUUUUUAUUUAUUUUUGUGACAAAUAAUUCCGUACAGAGAAAGUAUAAC